UACGUAGGGGGCGAGCGUUGUCCGGAUUUAUUGGGCGUAAAGAGCGUGUAGGCGGUUCGGUAAGUCUGUCGUGAAAUCCUGAGGCUCAACCUCGGGCGUGCGAUGGAUACUGCCGGGCUAGAGGAUGGUAGAGGCGAGUGGAAUUCCCGGUGUAGCGGUGAAAUGCGCAGAUAUCAGGAAGAACACCCGUGGCUAAGGCGGCUCUCUAGUACGGUACUGACGCUGAGACGCGAAAAGCGUGGGGGAGCGAACAGG
rnacentral:rRNA from 1 species